ensembl:antisense Gm11725 predicted gene 11725
GAAAAGACUGGUGUGUUACACAAUUCUAGGCUGUGAAGGCUGGACACUAAUAACCUGCACCAGACCCCCAUGGCCAGCAAGGAAGAGUGCCAGGAUGCUGCCUCCAGGAACAGGCAGCCCAGGGUACCAGGAGCAGCCAGAGGACAGAAGCACACUGGGAAACAACCCAGGCCAGGGCUGCAAGGGUUUGAUAGAAUAGACCUGUGAUUCCAGUACUCUGCUGAAGCAGGAGGAUAACUGAGUUGGAGGGCCGCCUGAGCUAUACAGCAAGACCUUAUCUUAAGCACUUCUCUCCGAAAAGAAGCCCCGGCAGGUGAGGCCUUGUGGUUUCCCUGUGGACUUCCUCUGCACAUCACCACGGAAGAAGAGCCUCUGGGGAGCGGGCAGGGCACAAAGAGUGCAGCUGGCGGGGUCUUACUGAGCCGCACUAGCUGGCCUCGAGCUCACAGAGAUCUGCUCACCUCUGCUGGGACAGCACAGAAGCAAGCCUUCCGUGUAUGGGGACCCUCCUGCAGAGGAGAAGGCAUGAAGGACGGCUGACUGCCUCUGAAAGUUUGCCCGGACUUCCUGCCUAGGCCACACAGUUCAAGCCAGACAGUCCCUUGGAAUCUGAAGGUCAUGUGUUUAGUUUGUUCAUGUCCUGUGUGAGUGUUUACUGGGACCCAAGAGCCUUCCAGGCAUCAGGCUUGGGAAACCUUGACUAGGGGCUGGGCUUCAGGCUGUCCAGCUACCUCAUGGUACACUAGGGCUCUGACCCCACUCCUGCAGGGACACGGGGUCCCCUCUGUGCUCACUCUGGCUGGCCCCUGGGCUUUGGGUAGACCUAGAAGGCCCCUCCCUGUGAAGUCCAUUGGGAAUAGGUCAGAACAGCCUGCCUAGGGCCUGCCAUGGGCAGCCAUUUCCAGAAAGGGGGCUUCAUCUUCUUGUUGUUGUUGGCAAAUAUGCAUGGAGUCUUAAUUAUUUAUACCUGGCACUUAUCUCCCCAAAUGUUUUAUCGGGAUUCUGUAGUCAGGCAAGCAUGCAUGGCAGGUGACAGGGUGGGAAGUAGACAGACACACAGACCCAGGCAGCACCCAAAUCAUCCUGGCCCAGUGGUCAAGAUGGAGGGACCCCAUCAGUGGGAGCGUUGACCUUUUCACGCACAUGUGUGCGUCGUGCCCAUGGGAGUCUAGAGCUGGCAGGUUUAUCCAUUGCUUGCCUAGGUUGCAGCAGGGUGUGACCACCAAAGCCCAGUUCUCCUGUAUUUGGUUGGUAGGCAGAGCUGCAUAGGGAGCGAGCCACUCUUGAGGCCCAAAGAAGGGCCCUAAAUUGGCUACGGCAAUACAUGCUUAUAUUCCUGGUACUUGAGAGACGAAGGCAAGAGGCUUGCGAGUUUAAGCCUAGCCUGGGCUGCACAGUGUGUUCUAGGCUAGCUUGGGGAAAAUGAAAUCCUGUCUUCCAAAAACUAAACCAGAGGUUGAAAAGAUGGCCCAACAGUUAAGAGCAGUGGCUGCACUUGCAGACGACCAAAGGUCAGUUCCCAGCACCCACAUGGCAGUCCACAAGCAUCUGUAACUCCUGCUCUGGGGAUCCAACGCCUUCUUUGGGUACCAGGGAUGCAUGGGGUGAAUGUACAUCCAUGCAGGCAAAGCACCUAUGCACAAACUAAAAAUUAAAAAUUAGCCAGGCACGGUUUAACCUUGAAAAGGAGUGGCAGGCUGGGUGGUGGCGGUGAUGGCACACACUUUUAAUCCCAGCACUCCAGAGGCAGGGGGAAUCUCUGAGGCCAGCCCAGUCUACAGAGUUCCAGGACAGCCAGGGCUACAAACUUGGUCUUGAAAAUCAAAACCACAAUAC